GGAGGAAUGCCCGAGUGGUUAAAGGGGACGGACUGUAAAUCCGUUGGCUAUGCCUACGUUGGUUCAAAUCCAACUUCCUCCA
rnacentral:tRNA from 1 species